AGAAACAAAACAGAUCUCUAAAACAGAUCCGGAAACUCACAGUGUCACAGUUGGAAGAAACAGAGAUGAAUGUCAGUGCAUCUGAUCUGACAAGAUCAACACUUAUGGAGCUGAAUGUUUCAGAAUCCCGAGAUGUGACUUCUUCCUCUG